ACGAUAACACGGUUUGGAUUAAGCGGCGUAAUCCACAGGUUAUUCACGCCGCAUGAAAUUCUGUGGCUAAAGAUUUUAACUGACGCGAAUAUGCAGCUGAAAACAACUCGGAAAUCAUUCGACGGUAUUUAUCCAUGAAACGACGCGCGCAACGGAAUACAUUGAAUUUCUGCCGAGGAUUAAAUAACCUGCAAACUCAAACACGAACGGACAGUUGGACAGGAUAACCUUACAUUUCAACCGCCGACUGCGAGAACCAGCCUAACACUUUAUAAACUAUUGCGCGGUUUCGAAACUGCAACGCGUAUAAGUUACUGAUUCGUUUUAUUUCUCUUUGUGGCGCGUUAUACGUUUGUCUCUGUUCGAAGGACGAAAACAGAUCUGUCGGGUAACGCCGCCAUAGAUUACGCAACAUAACGGUAGAGGCAAGUGGCGAAGAAAAAGACAGAAGUUACCGGUUUCUUUUGGCGCCGUAAAAGGUGGCCGCAACCCAUUUCUCAGAGUUUUGAUACACGUCGCAGUGAUUUUCACGAUAAUUGCCAAAUCGAAUCGUAAACAAACACUUACGCACCUUUCUUGAAUUUAUUUCGGCCCCGAAUGCAUUAUGGUUACCGAGGUCUUUUGACAUCUUUGACAGAAAUAGUUAAUACUCCAGGAAUUUAUCGCCUACCGUACAAAGUGUCGAGACUUCUAUAAUUAAUUUUCAUUACUUUCAUCAUUAGUACUCAACCCACGGUGCACCAUAAUUCAGGACAACGAACGGCAGAAUAUCGACCGUCGAAACGGCCGCGAGAUCAUCGACAUUUCGCAGAUAUGUAUUAAGCGCAGCGACGAAAUGCAGCAGCGUAAUAACUGCGGGGGCACUGAUCGAUUUCCCUUCCGCGUCGAGGGAGACAUAGAAUUACCGGCGUGGAAUAAUCAUAGCGUGGAAAAGCUGCAAGGAAGACUGGAAACGUUACCAGUGCACGUAACUCGAACCCGCUAAUUAAAGCGUUAUUAAAUUCCAAUUCAAGUACAAACUGCCUCGCAACGAACGGCGAUCCCGCACGAGUCUAUCGAGAAUGAUCUGUGAAAAAAUCUCCCGCCAACGUUUUGACCUACGGUUGCAAGGCCGACCAUUGGCGUCGAAUGUUGACAAAUAACGAUUCGGACUGCGCUCGAGGUUGAUAAAUUUUCAAGGCUCCGCGAAUCGCGAUAACUAGGAAGAACCGGACACGAUAAAUGGUAUUACGUGCCUUGGCCGGCGUAUGGUGUGCUCGCAGUCCAUAGUUACCUGUUUAUGCUACGUCAACAGCGUAGUCCGUAUCAAAUGUCCGUAACCGCAUACGAGGCAUCAGACCCGACUGCCUCGGCCAGCACAGGGAAUAAAGAAAGUCGGUUCCGGACGUUUAUUCGUGGAUACGGACGGACGACUCCUCGGGACAAUUACACGCAAAGCGAUUCGCUUAACGCAACGCAUCAGACGAAUAAAACGUUCGGCGCCAAACUGCCCUUUCGAAACUGCUACCGUUCCGAGUCGACGGUGGGCCCCCUACGGAUCGUGCGGCUACUAAUGGCAGCGUUAUUCUCCUUGGGUAACAGCGUUCUGGAGAAUAAAUUAUGGAAAAAGAGUUGGACGCCGGUGGCGGCUCGCGUAUAGGCAUUGUGGAACUGCAGUAUCCACGAUUUCUACUUGGUUUUGUUGGUAAUGUUUAACUUAUGGGGGUGCUGCUCAGGGAAAUUUGUAGCCUUCGUUUUUAAAUGGUUGUAUCUUUUUCAGGAACUGGGGUGGCUGCUGACGUUGAGCUUGAUUGUAUAUUGUAGAAGUAUGGAGAAAGAAGUGAAGAGGACUCAAUUUUUUGCAAGAAUUAAAGAAAUUUUAAAGAACAAAUAAGGAAAACAGUACUCAAUUCUUUGCAAGAAUUAAAGAACAGAUUUUAAAGAAUAAAUAAAGAAAGAAUUAGAAGGACUCAACUAUCUUUGUACUCGUACAAUACACAAUCAUCAAGAUUAAUGUCAGUAGCCAUCCCUCAGUUGAUAAAAAAUAUACAAAUAUUUUAAAACAAGGAGUAAACAUUUUCUGAAGCACCGGAAAUCGUAGAGUGCGCAUCAGGGCACUGCAUUUUUAACACGAUCGGUAUUUCAGAUUCGACAUAAAGUCCAUCUUGUCGGUGAAAUGUUUUUUCACAAAAUGUUGUGUCUCGACUUUAGAAUUGGCAAAAAUCCUCGUAAACAUUUUGCUCGUGGAAAAUGAAGCUAUCGAUAGAAUAUCGGACCAAUUAGGACAUAAAAGUAUUAAAAAUUACAGGGAGCGACAUUAAAAUGAUAAAAGGCUCUGUUGCAAAAUUUCAUCGGAUUUGUCAGGUCGUCGAAAAUUUUGCCAAUUUUUAUAUAGACUGAAAC